AGGGACCAGUGCUUCUCCUCCUUCUCCUCCAUGUGGCUAGUUGAGAUCUCGUUUGAAGACUACUUUUGACCAAGAACAAGUUGAGAGACUCCGGAAGGGGAAGGCUCAAAUCUUGUAAGAGCAUUCAAACUUGGUUUCGAGGUAGGUGAUGAAGGCUCAAAUCUUGUAAGAGCAUUCAAACUUGGUUUCGAGGGCAUCUUCAUGCGGCUACUGACAAACCUCGGUGUCACGACCCAAGCCUAGGGCCUAGACGUGACACGACGAAUGAGACACCCGGAGGUACCUCA